UAGGGAAUCUUGCCCAAUGGACGCAAGUCCGAGGCAGUGACGCCGCGUGAGUGAUGACGGCCUUCGGGUUGUAAAGCUCUUUUCUGCGGGAAGAGGAAGGACGGUACCGCAGCAAUAAGCCUCAGCUAACUACGUGUCAGCAGCCGCGAUCAAACGUAGGAGGCGAGCGUUAUCCGGAAUCAUUGGGCGUAAAGAGCCAGCAGGCGGCUAUUCAAGUUGGAUGUAUAAGCUCUCGACUCAAUCGAGAGAGUGCGUUCAAUACUGGA
rnacentral:rRNA from 1 species